UUCAAAGUGGAAAUCACAUCAGCACAACACUUCACAAAAUAAUUCCAUAAAAAAACAUCCCAAGAUGCAUUAGCACUAUUUGACUAUUGUAGCACAAAUGAAUCACAUUUCAUUGAGAGAGUUAAAAAAACAAACAAACAAAAAACGCCUGCUUCCUCUCGUGUAGCCAAAAAGAGGAUUUAGAGAUUUAGUUACAAAAAAGUGACCUCAUCUCAUUCGCCACACGCACACGCAGACGCACACACACGUGUGCACGAGGAGGGUGAAGACGUUCACGAGUCAGGAGAACGAGCUGCAAGAUUCCAACGCAGAGGAAAAGGUUUUGUUUUGGAUCUUCACAAGUCGGAUUUCUUUCAACACACCAGCUUUCACCUGAGCAGAGGGUUCUUCAUCUUCUUCUUCUUCUUCUUCUUCUUGGAACGAACUGCAGCACACACUCAGGAGGCUGCCGAAAAACAAAGGGAUGCAAUUAAACACAGCUGAUCAACAAGGAGGCAAAGUGGGGACGCAGGACGACAAAGUGGAGGUCAAAUAAAAGGGAGGUCGCCACACACACAAACGUGGCCUCUGUUAUGAACUGAGGUAUAUAAGGGAGCGGGUAAAAAUAAAUGUUUACCAAUGAAGACGUCUGUGUGCCUCCUGCGUGCACAUGGAGGUGCGUACACGGCGUGCUAAAAGCUGCCCUGCAGACCAGACCUGUGGAAUCUUCAAAGUGGAGGAUUUGUUCAGGCUUAUUUGGCAACCUGGGAUUUGAAUUAGAUUUUGGGAGGCAUUCAUAACACAUUAGAAAACCUUACAAUGUGUGAUUUCAUGUCUAAUCCCCUUAUAGUCCUUUUUUUAUAAGGGGGAGUAUGGUCACAACAUAGCGCGGCUAUUCAUGAUUCAUCAAAUGUUUUUCUUUUUUUUGCCUGUGAGGUGAGUGUCUUCUCCUGAAGAGGUGACUCUUCUCUUGAACCUUCCUCUCCUCACCAUUUUGUUGGUUUGACCUGAAUAUGUGAUAGGGUCAGCUCCACCGUGACACCCCCUGCUUACAACCCUCAGUGGAUUAGACCUUUCUACAUGUGCGGACGCCCACUUUGCUUUGAAUGACACUUUGGCGAUGCCCCCAACAUCCCACUUGGACUUCUCAAGUGUAGCAACACUGCCAAAUCCUCUCAACUCUUUAAUAUCUCUCUUUGGCUGCAUUGCCAGGCAAGGCCCCUCCGUGACAGUUGGACAUCGUCGUCGCUUUCGGGAGGAGACAGCGGCGGCCGUUUGUAGCGUUUCCCAGCCUCGGGCCUGUGGGGACUCUGUGAUGGCUCGCCUGUCAGCCGGCCCCUCCCCUGCAAUUAGGAGAGUAAACACAGCGCCCGGCUUGACAUGGG